rnacentral:lncRNA from 1 species
CAUCAAAGUUUAAUCUUCUAAAUUCAGGCAAGAUAAGUAGCUUCAUGGCUAAUAGCCAGGCAUGGGCAUUAAAUAAAGCAUUUCAGAUCAAAGAACCACACCAAACUCUGUUUCAGCCAGGAUUGGCUAGAGAUGGUCCUAGAGGAAACAAGAGAUUUUUUUUUUUUUUUUUUUUUUUUGCUGAAAUGAAGAUAAGCCAGUAAACUCUUUUCCCAGAGAAAACGCUGCAAUCAGACAUCCCUUCAUGAUGAAAAGAUUGCUAACUAAGGGGAAAGAAGUAACAUGUAAUUAUAGAGAACUACUCCUUUUGAAAUCUUAUACUCCCCUAUGAAGUACUUGGAUUGCUUUAAAAUAUAAGGUAUACUUAGUUCUUAGCAGGUUAUGUUCUGUGUUGGAACCAGCUACAUUGUUUUAAAACUGCUAUUUCCCUCCCCUGCCACCUCUUCUUAUCCUUUCUAAUCUCUAAAUUUGAACAGUUUUCAAGACGUUAUCUGGGCCUAAAUAUAAGCUCUCUUGCACCCUGGAACAGAUGACAGAUUGACUUUCAUAGUAAAGUUAUAGCCCUUUAUUAAGAAAUAGAAAAUCUGAGAAUUUUACUACUGGAAGAGGAUUUUAGAGGUCUAGUCCAAUUGAUAAUUCACAAUUGUUGGUUUUUUUUUUUUUUUUUCCUGUAGAGGAAACUGUGGAUCAUUAUGGUUAAGUGAUUUGCUUGAGAUUUAGAGAAGUAGUUUUGUCCAUAAUCCAACUCUACUGACUUCCAAAUUCAGGGCUCUACUUUAUCCUAGAGGCUAGCUAUGAAAUGAAAUGUAUGCACAAGCAGUUUAACAUAAUGGUGAAGAACAGAUGUUGGUGUUUUUUAGAAUUGAUUGGGAUACUAGUUCUGCCACUUCAUGUGUAUGACUUUGAGUGAGAAAACUAUUGAGUCUUUUUUAAUGACCGAUCCCACAGCAUAUGGAAAUUCCCAGGCUAGGGAUCAAAUCAGAGCUGAGGUUGCCAGCCUACACCACAGCCACAGCAACGCCAGAUCUGAGAUGCGCCUGCGAUCUAUGCCACAGCUCAUGGCAACACCAGGUACUUUAACCAACCAAGCAAGACCAGGGAUUGAACCCACAUCCCCAUGAGUACUAGUCAGAUUCUUAACCAGCUGAGCCACAACAGGAACUCCCCUGAGUCUAUUUAUCUUUAAACAGUUUAUUCAGGUUCUAGGAACGUGUUUGAUACCUAAUAUUAUUUUGUAUAUAAAAAUAAACAUUUUCUUGAGGGACACAUUUAAGAUCGCACUUCAAAUAAAUAGGACUAAUUUUCAUAUGAUCAGAUUCUGAAAGUGUUUUAUUAAUUUUUACAGAUGUGCCUUCGGGGAAAAUUGCUAUUUGCCAAUUUUAUUUUCAAUGGUUAUAACACAUCUGCUAAGGACCUUCAAAAGCAAAUUGUGAAGACAAAGAAUGAUUAUCAUAUGGAAUAUUUCCUAUCCAAGGACUUCAGAAUCCUCUAACUAUAUAAAAUCUACCUUAUCUCACAAUUUUAAUUAACAAAUCCCAGACAAGUGUCAGAUUUCAAGAACUGCCUUUACAAAUACUUAUUCCUUGCCUCAAAUCUUUUCUGCAAAGAGGCAGCUUAUUUAUUUAAAAUAAAAGUUCAGUUCAAGGAUGGCCACUUUCUCUUUAACGGGCAUUCAGUCUGCAGAAUCACUGUGGAAUUACCAUGAAUGUUCCCAAGACCAUAGCUAAGCUUAGAAAAGUUUAAAACGAAUCAUUCAUUCCUUUGCAAAGGACAAGUAUGGUCCAUUGGAUGUUAACUCCCUUCUUAGUUCGGUAUGUCUUUUCUGUCAAGGAGGUCAUAUAAGUCAACAAAUAUCACAGGAUUAGAAUGUAUCCAAUGGUUGACAGUCACUGAGAAUGAUGACAAUGGAGCUUUUAAACUUAAUCUGAAUCUGCUGUUUUCACUCUGAUAAAUUAUCAUGUCAGGCACUUGAAGAGAAAACAAACAAAACUUGGACCAAUGAAUCCAAGGCUUUCCUAGACAACUGCUAUCUUUUGUGGGUAUGUUAACAAAUUUUGAAAACUAUAGUAGAAAAUAGGGACAGAAGGAAGAGAAAAGGAAGUUUUAUCUUUUGGCUAAUUCAUGUUGCAAAUAUUAGAAUUAAAAAGGUACAAAAUAUAAAGAAGUACAGAUUUUAUUGGAGACUUCUUAAGCUUAGAAGGAAUAACAACAUAGAUAUGUGCAAACCUACUCUUGGGUUUUUGUAAAACCUUUUGAAACAGUUGACAGAAAUUCAAUAUGAUGAAAUACAUAAAGAAAUUACUGUUUUUUAAAAGGGUUAUACUCUCAAGUCUUCAGGUAGGGUUAAAAAUGUACAGUUUUACUACAUAAAACAUAAAGUAUCAAAAAGUAAAAACUAAAACAUUUCUGAAAGAAUAUUCUCAAAUGAUAUUUAGAAAAUAUGGCAUAACACUCUAAAAGUGUCUAAAGUGAAGGGAGACUUUAGAAACUUACUGUGUAAACAAGCCUGAACUCUGUAGGACCGUAUACAAAUUCUUAUUUUUAGUGUUCAAAGAGAGUACGAAGGCCCCCGGCAACUGAGAACACUUAUUGCACAUAAGUAUAAGAUGGGCUAUGUCAAGAAAUAUAGUCAACUUCGCUCACAGAUGAGUGCACUAAUACAAGAAUGCUGAUGUUAGAACCUUUUCAUGUUUGGGUAAAUAGAAAAUGUCAUAAAUUCUGGAAGAAACUGAAAAUAAGGCUCACCUAUGUAGUUCAUUAGAGAAAAAUAAAUGAGAAGACUUGAGGCUUAAAUUAUGAGUGAAUUUACAAGACAAGGCAUUUAAAUCAUUUAGCUUUGAAAAGGAAUCAAAAUCCAAAAUUAUCAGAUCCAAAAUCUACUGUUUAAUCAAAAAACAUAUAUAUAUAUACAUAGUAAUAUAUAUAGUGUUUUGAUCUAUGCAAAUACAAAAACAUUAUGUAAAAAGAAAAACGUGGAGAGGUAAGUGCAAACCUAAGGUUACACUUUAAAAGGCAAAAAUAAUGGAGUCCAUGGGAUGAAGCAUUUAUGUAAUGAAUGUAGCAGAGAACUAAUCCCAGGGUUGAGUUUUUUACAAUGAGCCUCAACAAGCUCACAGUCCUGUGUUAAAGGAUGCCCCACUGAUCUAAUUUUUCUGAUGUGACAAGGCUUGGAAGAACAGCACAGUUUGGGGCUCCUUUCACACAGAGUCCUUGAUUAGUCUACACUUACUUCAAACAUGGUCUAAAUCUGAUGAAAUGCCAGUAUCACCAAAAGUAUAUAUUUUCACUGUGUACAAUAACCUUUGGAUUUGGGGUCUUUUCAGUGCCUUUUCAGAAUACUUGUCCUCCAAAUUAAAGAAAAACAUGUAUAUAACUACAGUGAUGUCAGAGUUAUGAUGUGAGACCAUUAGGUGAAUCACCUAGGUCAGAUUAUUUUAAAAAUCUAGAGCAGCAGAGAACAAAAAUAAACUUGCUAAAAACCUUACAAAACACUUUUGUAAAAUAUGAGGUAUCAAGUCAUUUCCACGCUCAUCCUAGCUUUUCAUCAACCUAGCAAAUUCUAAGAUAGAGCCUACAAUGAGUCAACGAGGGGCAGUGUAUCUACAAAUGAUGCUAAGGUUCUUCCCAGAUCUGAACCUCAAAAAGCAAGCUGAAAGCAAUAUGCUAAGUUCAGUAGCAGAUUAAAAGGGCAAUCAAGAGUUUCCAAAAAAUAAGAGUUUAGAAUCACUUGGCAAUGUAGUCUGAAAGCAAAGAUUAAUACUUUUCUGAAACUAUGAAAAACUAGUUAAAAAUUAUAUAUAUAUAUAUUUGUGUGUG